UUUUAUCAAGCAACAUUCUGAAACAACUGUACCAAGAGCACAGCUUGUUUGGGUUCAGCCUCCUCACCGCCCCGCGGAUGAAGACCGCGGGCCGUGACUGAUCUAAUGGGCUUGGUGCAACAGACAGUUUGUGGCAUGACCAUCUUCCACCAUCCGACGUCUGAUCCGCUCCUUACAGAACACGCCUCAACCCGCACAACACCUGAUCUCAGCCCUCUCCAGGUAUCCCCACAGUCAGCCCUACGACCCUGGGUAUCCAAAGGCAAAGUGGGACUCAGGAAGGGCUGCCAUUUGUGAAGAACCUGAGAGCUGGGGCUCAUGAUACGCUUCAAAGGACCAGAGGACAAUACUGUUCAGACUUCCUUUGGGGGGGUUUCAGACCAUCGGCUCCGAAGGUGAUAAGGGGAAGAUGGAUGGUGGUUGUAUGUGUGGUUUAAGGGCAUUUAGGUCAUUAAAGGGUCAUUAAGCCCCUGACCAAACCAUGGAAAAAGAAUGUCCUCCAGAAUAUUUGUGCCCUCUCUUGUGACCCCACACCUGGUCAUUUCCUAGGGGAAAGAUUCCCCUCAUUUGGGCACCGCUGUCAUUACACCAGUUACUGCUCUCCUAGAUUAAAGCUACAAAACUGCUGUUGAGAUAGUCAAUAGACCGGGUAAAACUAGAAAACAUUGCCCAUGUGAUCGUUAUAGUGUAACCACUCCCAAGAUUUGCGCAUGAUUAAACCCAAUUUCUAAAUUCUAUCUUAAAAUGGAGUCAGAUUACAAAGGUGAAUGUAUUGGCCCUAUUGUGGAGAUUCUUGGUCGGCCCGGACUAGUAGAGAGUGGAAGGCAGAGUGAUACUACUGUCUUUGUAACGUGGUUUAUUUAUUGGCUGAUCUAGACUCUCCGAAUAGAGGCCAUUACUAUUUAACCCCACUAAUAUUCUUCCAACAACACCAGAAGGACAAGCUUCGCUAAAUUCCGUCGUUGGGUUAGCAUGGGGUUUUACAUUGUUAUACAUAUAGCUUAAAUUGAAUCUAUAAUUUUAAUUAUUAGUUAAAAUUUCUUAAUUAAGUGUAAGUUUAAAAGAGUUUGAAAUGAAUGGUAGCUAUUAAUUAGAUUUAACAAUCAAAUUACUACCGACAAUCAAACUCAUGAACCCUGUAGAGGUCUUUGAACGGAUCAAAGUUGGCUUCAUAGAAUAAUUUGAAUAAACUGACACAGGCAUUUAUUUGUCAUUUAUUUGGCAUGUUGCCUAUAGCAACAUACAAAUCAAACAACUCACACUUAAUCACUAAAACAAGUACAAUGCUAUAAAAGGUGCGGCUAACUAUGGAGUUGUAGGAGAGGGAGAGCAUGUGUAGAUAAAAGUAGGGUGUGUUUGGAAUGUGCGUCAGGGCAUGUGCACAUAGGAUGGAAUGUCGUGCAGGGUGAACACGCGUGUAUAAUGGAGUCUGUGCGCAGGCAUGGACGCCGGGAGGUUCAAACAUAUUGGACAAAAGAAUGGUGCUGAAAAAUGGCGUGACCUAAAUAAGUAUCAAAGCUGGUUUUCAGCAGCUAAGAUGCACUUAGACGGUUAACCUUAGAUCUGCAACUGGUCGCAGAUACAGAUUAUGUGCGUUAUAAAUUCUGUAUGGAUGGUUAGAGCAUGCAGGAAAGGAAGGGAUAGAAGAUAGGGAACAGGAAAAUGCUUGCGCAAUUUCUCUGGCCUAAGUAAUAUUCUCUCCAGCAAACAAAAUACAAUAGCCACCUCACAAUACUCUCACAAUACAAGUAUCUGUUACAUUACUGGCAUUUGGCAGACGCUCUUAUCCAGAGCGACAUACAGUUGAUUAGACUAAGCAGGAGACAAUCCCCCCUGGAGCAAUGCAGGGUUAAGGGCCUUGCUCAAGGGUCCAACAGCUGUGCGGAUCUUAUUAUGGCUACACCGGGGAUCGAACCUCCAACCUUGCGGGUCCCAGUCAUUUACCUGAACCAUUACGCCUGAUCUGUGUUAGCGGUUACAAAAAUUAUGGGGUUGCUAUCACUUAUACUGGGCAAUGCUGAUGAAACAGCCAGUUCUUACUCUGAGUCGACAAGCUCUUUGCAGCGUCCCCGAACAGGUCUUGAGUCGGGCAAUCCCAGAGAAUUUGGUGGCUGGUCUCCUGUAAAAAAGGGGUCCGGUCGCCUCUUCCAACUUGUGCGCGUUUGAAAGUAAAAAAAAAGAAUAAUACCGAUUGUCAGUAUUGUAGAACUUUGGUUUCCCGGGUGGAUGCUUCUUGCAAGGCAAAUUAAAUUAGGCGAUCAAGCUACUGUAUGCAGGCCUAACUUAUCGAAGCGAAUAGAAGAGUUCCCUGCUACUGUCCGAUGUAGACGAAGAGACCGAAAUCUUCUCUUAAACACUGUAACUUGUGCAUGAAUGGUACAGUAACACUCUGUCCCCACUGGCUGUCGUUUGUUUGGGAUGUAGCUGCCAACGAAACUAGACCGGGUCCGUAUCAUUGUUUUCUUGUCGCUUGUGACGUUACAUCCCUGUCCAGCUUCGCAAGCGAAUAUCAACCCCUGCUGGAAAAAACUGUUUGAGCUAGGUUUGGAAACAGCUGGUUGACCAUUUAGACCAGCUCCAUAGGCUAAUCCCAGAAUUCCAAUGUGUCCAACUGAACACUGUGUACUGUAACAGUUUUAUGUUCAUGGCUAUUGUCAGUUGUAUCUCACAUACCUACGCUAAUUCAGAAACAUUUCCCUAGGUUAGUGAAAUGUAGUCUAUCCUAUAUGGUGCUUCAUAUGUCAGUUAUCGCAAGUGUUCGCAUUGAAAAACAAUUAUUUCCCACUGUAACAUCUGUAAGAAAUGUAUUGGUAAUAAAUAUUCCAUUUGGA